CCCGCCAGCCCCGCGCUCUACCAGGCAGAGCGCGUGUGGCCGCCGAGCACAUGGACCCACUGGUCAAGCGGGCUCGGCAAGGCCAGGAUGAAGAGAAGCUACGAACUUAGCAUUCCCAGAGCCCCCCGAGUGGAUAUCCGCGUGGAAAGGAUGUUGGCAGCCCCGGUGACCUCGGAGUCACGGCUGGAUCCACCCUCUUGUCUGAUUUUCUUAACUCUACUACGGUAAGAAGAUGCCCUCCAUCAGCAGGCCGUGUCUGCUGGGACCUCUCUGGAGACUUCCUGAACCCUGUGGAUUUACAGUAAGAUGCAGUUUCCUGGGGAGUAAUUCUGGUGGAUACAAAUUCCGGAGUAUUACACCUGGCUUGCCUGGAGAUGUUACAAGUAGCUGGAUGGAUUCUUCAGCCUGGAUGCCCACUGAAAACAAGGACCGAAACUAAGAGGAUUGUAUCUCUACCCUUGACUCAAUGAGAAUGUUUGUUGUCAUCUCUCGGGCUACCUGGAGCUCCCUCUAAAAUAGAGCCGAGUUCUGUCACCACAGACAUUGGCAGUGGCACUUGCAUGCCCCUGGCAAGCAGUCUAUCCUGAGGUGGAGGAAGUUGCCCUUGAGUUCUGGCUGGUAACCAGCACAGGGGCUGGGACACUGCCUGAUUGAGGUGGCCAUUGAGAAUUCAAGUGUACCUCUUGGUCCCUGAUGCAGAAAUGAAGUCCCCAGCAUGCUCAAGAAGAGCUUCCUUGGAGGAUGAGAGGCAUGGGAAUCUAAGGGUACCUGGAGGCACAGCAGCCAUGUUGAACCUAUGAGGUGAUGAAAAACCAUGCAACUAGAAACCAGAAUGGAAGAAAAGAAGAAGCUGGAUCCUUGACUGAAUUGUCGAUGGGGGAUAGUCCAUCAUCCCAGGGCUAAGACCACCUCCAGAUUUCUUGUUUGGUGAAACAAGUCCUGAUUGUUUACAUUCCCUCGUGUUGAGCUGUCUCUUGCUUGUAGCUGAAAGCAUUUCUAAUAGAUAUUCAGAUUAUCAGCCUUAGCUCCAAGCUAGAAUACUCUAUGGGACCUUAGCUUCUCCAUGAAUUCCUUUGCUCAUCUGUGUAAUGCUCAAUAAAUGUAAAUUGAACCCUGAAUGAGGGACAAUGACA
rnacentral:lncRNA from 1 species